rfam:Vitis vinifera, whole genome shotgun sequence of line PN40024, unoriented chromosome 14, chr14
GGGUCCAUAGCUUAGUGGUAAAGCAUUUGACUGUAGAUCAAGAGGUCAUCGGUUUGAUCCCGGUUGGGCCCU